GGGGGCUGCGGGCAGGGGAAGCCUCGGGCCGGGCCGGGGCCGCAGCCUCGACACUGCGGCGGGUGCGGGUCACAGCGGCUGCGGGGUCUUUCAGACAGCCCGGAUAUUGAGCAUGCUGCUAUGCCCAGAGGUGCGUUGGCUCUUACCCAGCAAGUAUUGGAGCCCCCAGUGCUGCCCUAGAAUGCUUCCAGCCUAGCAAGAGAAGUGUGGGAUCAUGAGAACUCAGCCAUCCUGGCUGCAGAGGAGCCACUUGCUGCAGCUCCUUCCUGCCAGCAUCUGACAGACAUUUCACAACCUCAGGCCAAGCUGUCACUGCCUCAGGAAGCAUUUCUGGUCUGCCUAAAUCUCCCUCGUGGCAGUUUCAGUCCACUGCUUCACUCCAUGUCUCCUGUGCAUGUGGGCAAGAUUUAUUCUCCUUUUAUGGAAUCUGUAAGCUUAAAAGGCUGAUUGAGACCCCUGCUAGUAGAGCCAAGAGAUGUGACUGCCAUCAACUUUCCUCCACAGGGGAACAUAAAUGUCACCCUCAGCCCAUCCCUCUCUGAUGGAAAGGCAGGAAAGUGAGGACUUUCCUGCCCUUCCUCAGCCCUGUGCUGGGCUCCCUUCUCUUCCUGUGUCCCUGUGGAUCUUUUUACUUACCUUUGUCCUGCUGACAAUGGAUUUAUUACCGAGAUUAAAGCUGAGUCGCUAAGGA